rnacentral:lncRNA from 1 species
GUGAUGACUGUUGCCAUUGCUGUAUGCAUUUGGGUACUUCGCAUCCAGACACUUUAAGCCCCAUAUCCGGACUGUCCGGUCAUCACUUGCUGAGGCCAACAUGUGGGGGUUAGCUGGAUUCCAGCUCACACAGUUAACGGCUCCAGAAUGACCGGGCAACGCAUCUACCAAGUCCCCUGAGCUUCUGUGCCAUAUAGUAAUACCUGUGAAUCCUCACUUCCACUAGCAAUAAACGAUUGCUUAAGCCCUCCAAAGCAAGAUCUAAUAACAAACCGGGAGCGUCUAUGACUUUUAUAUUUACCAACAAGCUUAAGAUCUCCUUCUAUAUUCCAAAGAUGUAUUUCCUGGUUCAGAAGAUUAACCAACAAGAAUCUGCUAUCCUUUGACAAAGAGAAUGAUGUUAUAGUCUGAUCCUCUUCAAUAAAUCUCUCAACCUUCGUUUCUUUAUUGA